rnacentral:rRNA from 1 species
UACGGGAGGCAGCAGUGGGGAAUAUUGCACAAUGGGCGCAAGCCUGAUGCAGCCAUGCCGCGUGUAUGAAGAAGGCCUUCGGGUUGUAAAGUACUUUCAGUCGUGAGGAAGGUGUUAAGGUUAAUAACCUUAGCAAUUGACGUUAGCGACAGAAGAAGCACCGGCUAACUCCGUGCCAGCAGCCGCGGUAAUACGGAGGGUGCGAGCGUUAAUCGGAAUUACUGGGCGUAAAGGGCACGCAGGCGGUUAAUUAAGUUGGAUGUGAAAUCCCCGGGCUUAACCUGGGAAUGGCAUUCAAGACUGGUUAGCUAGAGUCUUGUAGAGGGGGUAGAAUUCCAUGUGUAGCGGUGAAAUGCGUAGAGAUGUGGAGGAAUACCGGUGGCGAAGGCGGCCCCUGGCAAAGCUGACGCUCAGUGUGCGAAAGCUGGGGAGCAAACAGGAUUAGAUACC